UUACAGGAGGUCAAAGCAUUUUAUGGGGCGAAUUGAUGAUGGGAUCAUGGGGAGAGUGUCGAAGCUAAGUUCCGCGGUUGGACUGAUUGGUGCAAGGCAGAGAACACAGAGGCUACUUGAAUAUUUAGAAGAUCAGUUGGUUAAAGCUGAAUGAACAACCUAUCAGUUCAUCAGAGCUUUAACGAAUGUGUUUAUAUUAAUUCUUUGGCUCCCAAACAGAUAUUCUUUUAGUAUGUGUAUUACUGUUUUCUAAACUCAUCUUUUGUAAGACAAAUUUGUACCUCAAGGUAGCCUUCAUUCUUUUAGGCCUGAAAGUAAAUGUUAAUUUUCUCAUGUAAGCACUA